UACAGAGGGUGCGAGCGUUAAUCGGAAUUACUGGGCGUAAAAGCGCGCGUAGGCGGCUUUGCAAGUCGGGUGUGAAAUCCCCAGGCUUAACCUGGGAACUGCAUUCGAGACUGCAUUGCUAGAGUAUGGGAGAGGGAAGUGGAAUUUCCGGUGUAGCGGUGAAAUGCGUAGAUAUCGGAAGGAACAUCAGUGGCGAAAGCGACUUCCUGGACCAAUACUGACGCUCAUGUGCGAAAGCGUGGGGAGCAAACAGG
rnacentral:rRNA from 1 species